AGAAACUAGAAGACUUCCUUAAAGGAGAAUGGACCAAGAUCUCCACUACAGUGAAUAUAGUGGAUGUUGUACUGCCUCCAGAGCCCAAGACCAGAGAACAGUUGUUACAAUAUUCCUGUCAACUCACACUGGACCCAAACACAGCAAACACACACCUCUCUCUGUCUGAAGGGAACAGAAAGGUGACCACUACACGCCAAGUCCAACCAUAUACUGACCAUCCAGACAGAUUCACCAACCAGUGCCAGGUUCUGUGUAGAGAGGGUCUGUCUGGACGCUGUUACUGGGAGGUGGAGUGGAGUGUAUGUUAUUACAGCAGACUCAUAUAAAGACAUCAGCAGAACAGAGAGAGAUAAUAGAUUUGGAUUCAAUAACAAGUCCUGGAGUUUACAGUGCUAUAAUGGUUGUUAUUGGUUCAGACACAAUAAUGUUAAGACUAAAGUAUCAGCCCCUCAGUCCUCCAGAGUAGGAGUGUACCUGGAUCACAAGGCAGGUACUCUGUCCUUCUACAGUGUCUCUGACACAAUGACCCUCCUCCACAGAGUCCAGACCACAUUCACUCAGCCCCUCUAUCCUGGGUUUAAUAUCUAUGGUACUGCUGAGCUGGUUAAACUGUAGUAGGGUCCACAUAGAUACUAGUCAUGCUGGUGUAGUCUAUAGCUGAGCUGGUUAAACUGUAGUAGGGUCAACAUAGAUACUAGUCAUCCUGGUGUAGUCUAUAGCUGA